GGGAAGAAAGCAAAUAUGCGGUUAACUUGAAAUUAACAGGUGGCAGUUAAAUCUGUCUCUUCUCG
rnacentral:tRNA from 1 species